rnacentral:misc_RNA from 1 species
AACCCUCUCAAGCCUGGCUUGGUGUUGGGCGCCGGGGACCGACCCGCGCCUCAAUUUCGCCGGCUGACCGCCCGUAUCCUUCAGCGUUGUGACAUCAAUUCGCUGGCGGGGGCGACGGUUGCGCCGUGAGAACCCCAAUCAAAA